rnacentral:rRNA from 1 species
UUACUGGGYUUAAAGGGUGYGUAGGCGGGCGAUUAAGUCAGUGGUGAAAUCUCCGAGCUUAACUUGGAAACUGCCAUUGAUACUAUAAGUCUUGAAUUCUGUUGAGGAGGGYGGAAUAUGUCAUGUAGCGGUGAAAUGCAUAGAKAUGACAUAGAACCCCGAUKGCGAAGGCAGCUCUCUGAGCAGAUAUUGACGCUGAGGCACGAAAGCGUGGGGAUCAAACAGGAUUAGAUACCCUGGUAGUCCACGCCCUAAACGAUGAUUACUCGACGUACGCGAUACACAGUGUGUGUCUGAGCGAAAGCAUUAAGUAAUCCACCUGGGAAGUACGACCGCCNGGUUGAAACUCAAAGGAAUUGACGG